GCGGAAUGCUUUACACAUGCAAGUCGAACGGCAGCACUGGUACUUGUACCUGGUGGCGAGUGGCGAACGGGUGAGUAAUAUAUCGGAACGUAUCCAUUAAUGGGGGAUAACUAAUCGAAAGGUUGGCUAAUACCGCAUACGUCCUACGGGAGAAAGCAGGGGGUCUUCGGACCUUGCGUUAAUGGAGCGGCCGAUAUCUGAUUAGCUAGUUGGUGAGGUAAAAGCUCACCAAGGCGACGAUCAGUAGCUGGUCUGAGAGGACGACCAGCCGCACUGGAACUGAGACACGGUCCAGACUCCUACGGGAGGCAGCAGUGGGGAAUUUUGGACAAUGGGCGAAAGCCUGAUCCAGCCAUUCCGCGUGAGUGAAGAAGGCCUUCGGGUUGUAAAGCUCUUUCGCAAGGGAAGAAAACUUACUUUCUAAUAAAGAGUGAGGCUGACGGUACCUUGAUAAGAAGCACCGGCUAACUACGUGCCA
rnacentral:rRNA from 1 species